UACGUAGGCAGCGAGCGUUGUUCGGAGUUACUGGGCGUAAAGAGUGCGUAGGCGGUUUUCUAAGUUUGGUGUGAAAUCUCCCGGCUUAACUGGGAGGGUGCGCCGAAAACUGGAAGGCUUGAGUAUGGGAGAGGUAAGCGGAAUUCCUGGUGUAGCGGUGAAAUGCGUAGAUAUCAGGAGGAACACCUGCGGUGUAGACGGCUUACUGGACCAUAACUGACGCUGAGGAGCGAAAGCGUGGGGAGCGAACAGG
rnacentral:rRNA from 1 species